UUCAGCCUUCCCCUCCUCCAACCUCCACGGAGGAGAGAAGGCACUGGAGGUUGAAUCCUUUGCCAAUGGCCAGUUAUGUAAUCAGUCAUGACCAUGUACGGGAAAUGAAAAGGCAAAUCAUGUGAAUAAAAAUACCAUCAUCACUCUGGUCAAAGGAUCAGUUACCAAGGUGGUGCCGCAAGCUAACCCUGCAGGACAUUUGAGUUUAUACAUGUGGCUCACGCACUUUAUUGACAUUGAAGAGUGCUGAGUUAUAGGAAAACACUUCACUGCAUUAAGGACAGAGCUACAAGGAAUCUUUCUUUCCUGAAUUUGUCAAUGGUGAGAGCGAAGCAAGAGAGGAUGAGAGAGCACCUGCUCCGGGCACUCUGGAGAACCCUCACCUGGUGAAGGAAGGGAAACUUGCAAGAUUCAUAAUGAAAUAAAAACUAAAGCAUAACAUGAAGUCAAUUAAACAACUUGAGGCUAAUCCUUAAUUGUGCACGCACGUGCAAAUUUAACCUGCAAAACAACAUCGGCAAUCAUGACAGUGUGACAACCAUCUCCUUCCCUUUUGAUUAAGAGCAGGUAUUUUCCUAGAAAAAGCAUAACCAAAAACAAUGUCCUAGAAACCAGCUGUGUUUUUAAAGAGACAUCUGUCCUCUGGAAAUAGCCACACUGGACAGACAGACAGACAUCCAACCCCCUUAUAGGUGAGAAUGGGACACAAAGUUACAGGGCAGCACUGAGCCCUUUCUAACUUA